rnacentral:rRNA from 1 species
AUGGUGGCAUCUUCCCUACUGUCUCCUUUCUUUUUAGUUUCCAACUUUGAUGCUUGGAUUUGUUGUCUUGGCCAGCUAGCUGGAGUAGGAGGAGAGGAGACAGGCAGGAUGAGAAAGGAGACAAGCAGGAGGAAGAGAGAUUCUUGGGGGUUUGCUUUGCUCGCCUUAUGGAACAGGCUCUUCUGCGGGCAUCAGUUGCUUUGGAAUUGUUCAGAAUCGUUUGCUAUCAUGUAUACUAAGUGCGUAACUACUUUGGGGAAACAUGCUAGGAUUUGGAGUGCCAUGGCUUCCAAUCUUAAAAAUCAGCCGUGA